rnacentral:rRNA from 1 species
GUCCACGCCGUAAACUAUCAAUACUCGUUUUCAGCGAUAUACAGUUGGAGACUAAGCGAAAGUGAUAAGUAUUGCACCUGGGGAGUACGAUCGCAAGGUUGAAACUCAAAGGAAUUGACGGGGGGCCCGCACAAGCGGUGGAGCAUGUGGUUUAAUUCGAUGAUACGCGAGGAACCUUACCAGUGCUUAAAAUGUAGAAGGAAUGAUGUGGAAACAUGUCAGUCUUCGGACCGUCUACAAGGUGCUGCAUGGCUGUCGU